AAGUCGUAACAAGGUUUCCGUAGGUGAACCUGCGGAAGGAUCAUUAUUGAAUUUCAUUUUUAUGCAACUUUCGAGUUGCUAAAAACCCCCCCUCAAAUGUGUGCAUUUGCAAUUCCUUUGGCCUCUUUUUCAACCUCCUUUUGAUUCGAGCCUUUUGGGCGAGAAGAGAGAGAGAGUGGGAAGAGAGAGGUCAUUGAAUUACACCGCUUCUACCUGUCUGAAUGAAUCUUUUGCGUUCUUUCUUUGUGAAAGACGACACUAUGAAAUAAAAAAACUUUUAACAACGGAUCUCUUGGCUCUCC
rnacentral:misc_RNA from 1 species